rnacentral:rRNA from 1 species
UACGGGGGGGGCAAGCGUUGUUCGGAAUUACUGGGCGUAAAGGGCUCGUAGGUGGCCAACUAAGUCGGACGUGAAAUCCCUCGGCUUAACCGGGGAACUGCGUCCGAUACUGGUUGGCUUGAGUUUGGGAGAGGGAUGCGGAAUUCCAGGUGUAGCGGUGAAAUGCGCAGAUAUCGGGAAGAACACCCGUGGCGAAGGCGGUUCUCUGGGACGGUACUGACGCUGAGACGCGAAAGCGUGGGGAGCGAACAGG